AAAACGGCCCUUUUCAGGGCCACAAAUUCUUCUAAAUAGAGAGUUA
rfam:Lutzomyia longipalpis Contig23707, whole genome shotgun sequence.